CCUACGGGUGGCAGCAGUGAGGAAUAUUGGUCAAUGGACGAGAGACUGAACCAGCCAAGUCGCGUGAAGGAUGACUGUCCUAUGGGUUGUAAACUUCUUUUAUAAAGGAAUAAAACGAGGCACGUGUGCCUUUUUGCAUGUACUUUAUGAAUAAGGAUCGGCUAACUCCGUGCCAGCAGCCGCGGUAAUACGGAGGAUCCGAGCGUUAUCCGGAUUUAUUGGGUUUAAAGGGAGCGUAGAUGGGUUGUUAAGUCAGUGGUGAAAGGUUGCGGCUCAACCGUAAAAUUGCAAUUGAUACUGGCAGUCUUGAGUACAGGUGAGGUAGGCGGAAUGCGUGGUGUAGCGGUGAAAUGCUUAGAUAUCACGAAGAACCCCGAUUGCGAAGGCAGCUUACUAAACUGAGACUGACAUUGAUGCUCGAAAGUGUGGGUAUCAAACAGGAUUAGAUACCCGUGUAGUC
rnacentral:rRNA from 1 species